rnacentral:lncRNA from 1 species
AUAUCUAUCAUUUCUUUUUAUUGCAAUAUCAGAGCCCCUCCACUUACCAUUUUGUUUUUAGUUACAGUUCCAAGUCCUUCCUUCAGCAUAUGAUUAUUUCUGCAUGACUAAUAUGCUUCUGCAUCUGCAUAUGAUUAUUCUUUUUUGAUAAGUUGUCAACAGUUUAGGCCAUUAACUAAUGAUAACACUGAGAGGCAAAGCGCAAUUGAGCAAAGUUUUUUUUAGCAAAGAACAACUCCGUACAAUAAAUUGGCAGGAGUCCUAGAUCCUCCAUGAAAGAUACUAUUAAGUGCUUCAAAAUAUAUAGUUCAAUGCACAUAAAAAUAAUUAAGCCACUAAUACCAUGAUGCAAUUAUUUAUUUUCUUGAUAUAGAAUAGUAAAGUACAAAAUUGGCAGUUUACCAUUCACAUGUAGAGAUCAGAAGCUCUUCGGUUAAACUAUCUUUGGAAGCUAUUUUCUUGACUUGAAGCAAUACCCUACAAAACUACUUCACAAAGAGGCUCAAAUUGUCGCUGAUAGUCUACAUGCUACGCAUAAAUCACGGAAGGGGCAAACACUGAUAACAUUACCAUUUGAGCCUCUUCUAUAUCUAGUCAUAGUAUUCCAACUAUCCCAAAGAAAGAAGUAUCUGAAAGCUGCACUCUAACCUGCAACAAUAAGGGGAGAAAAUUAGAAACACAUAGGCUAGAUAAAAUGAUUGCCAUGAUCUUAAAUAAGCAAGCAAUAGAGCAGUGUCGUUCCCAUGUGGAGUGAGAGUUGGGCAUGAAGAUGUUGUCACAGGCCUUGGUGAUCAUGUGAUGCUGCCCUUGAGCAGCCAGUGAUGAGGCGAUGGAGGAUGUGCUACAGAUCGGCAUUUCAUGCAGGCCCAACCCACAUGGCAUUGUGGCAUACACCACAUGGUACGUCCAGAACGCACACAUGAUGGUCACCGGGCUCGCGUGCUAGCGCGUCCCCCAGGUCACAAGCCGCCACCGAGAUGGCCUCUUCCCUAAUCCGCGCCCGCAAGUUAAGCCCGCGCUUGCGCCACACACGCCUCCUGCUGCGUCCGCCUCUCUGUCCACACCGGCAUCUUCUUCUGCAGGUUCUUCUCGUGCAGCCGCAUCCCGUCGUCUCCACCAGAGACAGCACCGAAACUUAGUCCACCCC